AGAGCGAACGCUGGCGGCAGGCCUAACACACGCAAGUCGAGCGGCCGUAGCAAUACGGCAGCGGCAGACGGGAGAGUAACACGUGGGAACGUGCCCUUCAGUUCGGAACAACCAAGGGAAACUUUGGCUAAUACCGGAUACGCCCUUACGGGGAAAGAUUUAUCGCUGAAGGAGCGGCCCGCGUCUGAUUAGCUAGUUGGUGAGGUAAUGGCUCACCAAGGCGACGAUCAGUAGCUGGUCUGAGAGGAUGAUCAGCCUCACUGGGACUGAGACACGGCCCAGACCUCCGUACGGGAGGCAGGUA
rnacentral:rRNA from 1 species